UACAGAGGGUGCGAGCGUUGUCCGGAAUCAUUGGGCGUAAAGAGCUCGUAGGCGGUUUGUCGCGUCGGCUGUGAAAACCUGGGGCUCAACCCCGGGCCUGCAGCCGAUACGGGCAAACUAGAAUUCGGUAGGGGAGACUGGAAUUCCUGGUGUAGCGGUGAAAUGCGCAGAUAUCAGGAGGAACACCGGUGGCGAAGGCGGGUCUCUGGGCCGAUAUUGACACUGAGAAGCGAAAGCGUGGGGAGCGAACAGG
rnacentral:rRNA from 1 species